rnacentral:rRNA from 1 species
GAGUAUCUUAGGAGAUUGAACUCAAGAGGAGUAGUGAAAUGCGUGAUACUUUGGGAACACCAGUGGCGAAAGCGAAUCUCUGAAAGACAACUGACACUGAGACACGAAAGCUAGGGGAGCGAAGCAGAUUAGAGACCUGCGUAGUCCUAGCCCUAAACGCAUGCUUGCUAGCCGCAUUCCUCGACUUUGUCGAAGGGUGUAGCGAAGGUAACCCGUUAAGCAAGCUACCUGGGGAGUACGACCGCAAGGUUAAAACUCAAAGGAAUUGGCGGGGAGGCACACAACCAGUGGAACACGUGGUUCAAUUCGAUACGAACCGAAAAACCUCACCAGGGUUUGACAUACUAUCGUUUAUUCUUCUAGAAAUAGAGGGAAAUCCGCAAGGAUGAUAGUACAGGUGCUGCAUGGCUGUCGUCAGCUCGUUCCGUGAGGAGUGCCCUUAAGUGGGACAACGAGCGCAACCCCUAUCUUGUGUUAAAUCUGUCACAAGAAACGGUCCUGCCUUUGGCGGGAAGGAAGGAGGGGCAGACGUCAAGUCAGCAUGGUCCUUAUACCCUGGGCCACACACAUGUUACAAUGGGAUGAGCAACGGGCUUUGCCAAGCGGUAACGUUUUAGCAAAUCCCUUAAACCAUCCCUCAGUGGGGAUUGAGGUCUGCAACUCGACCUCAUGAACGCGGAAUUGGUAGUAAUCGCGGAUCAGUCACGCCGCGGUGAAUACGUUCUUGCCUCUUGCACACACCGCCCGUAAGGGC